CAUCUGCAGACAGGAAGAGCUAAUUAAACCUGUGCAACCUGCUUCUCCUCGCCAGUUUGUUAUGCUCUCCAUGGCGAGGAAACUGUCUCCGUGGUUUGGACUCUCCUUCACAUCUGUUUGGUUUCCUCACCUGCUUGCCUGCCCUUUGGCCUGGCACUACACCUCAAAUACACUGGAAAUUUCCACGGACCUCCUCUCCUGAGAGCCUUCAAAACCUGCACCUGCAAAUUACCAUUGACCGUUGAAGAAUCUGGUGGCACUGAUCCAGUCCUGCUCGACACCACCGCCACUCCCACCAGUGCUCCCCGACGGCGCUGGGGUGGAGGAGAUCUGAACAGUUCCGCCACCCGUCCACCGGCACCCA